CCCCGCUUCCCAGGCUCCUCCCUCCGUUACUCCUGUCUUCCUGUGUGAGUGUAGAGACGCGUAGAGACGCCUCGGGAGCGGCUGCGUUCGGGGAAACUUGCAGGCUUCGGUAUCAACAGGAGUUGCAGCUGCUGACAAAGGUGUGUGAUCAGGCUCUCCAGAAGAGGGUUCUUGACGCAAACUGAACUUUUCUGGAAUUCUUGCAUCAUUUUUACAUGCACAGCAGACUUUUGAGAGAUGAUUCAUUUGGGGUUUAUCCUACUGCGUGAUUUGAGGUAUGGAAUUAAUUUUUAUCUUUUUCAAAAUUACUAUUCUGUUGUUUUAAUAUAAAUAAUUGAGUAGUUCGUCUUUAACUGAGUGAAUUGAGAUUCAGUCUAUUCCUAUAGUAAGUUUCCAGAUGUGCUUGGGUCUAUUUCUGGAUUUUGUGUUCUGUUUCAUUAGUCUGCCUGCCUAGUCAUAUGUGAGUACCAUCUGUUUUAAUGACAGAGGAUUUGGUGUAUAUUUUAAUUUCUGCUAGGGCUAGUCCUUCCUUACUGCUUUGUUUAGUGUUUGCCUAAUUGUUAUUCCUUGAUUUUUUUUCCAUAUAAGUUAAAUGAACUGUCAAGCUCCAGAAGACAGCUAUUUUAUUAAUAUAAGAUUAAAUUUAUGUUAACAUUUUUAUGAUGUCGAAUCAUCUUGUUAAAAAACAAGAAGUCUUUUUCCAUUUGUUCAGAUCCAUUUUGGAUCUCUCAAGGAUCUUUUCAGGCUUACCUUUUAUAGUUUUUGCUUAUUUCUUUUCUGUCACUCUAUGGAGGUGUAAUUGGAAUUCAAUAAACUAUGCCUAUUUAAAUACACAAUUUGAACAGUUUUGGCAUGUACAGACCUGUAAACUAAGACCAGAAUUAAAAUAUAAAACAAUUCCAUUAUCCCCCCAAAAUGUCUUCAUGCGUAUCUAUAAUUUAUCUAUUCUUGCACCCUGGUACCCAGGAAUCUCCAAUCUACUUUCUAUAACUACAAAUUACUUUGCAUUUUCUAGAUUUACAUGAAUAAAAUUAUGUUGUAUGUACACUUUUGUUGGCCAGGCUUCUUUUACAUAAUUUUGAGAUUCUCCCAUGUUGUUACAUGUAUCAUAGUUUGUUCACUUUUAUUAUUAACAUUCCACUGUUUAGAUAUACCUGAGUUUGUUUAUCCAUUCACCUGUUAAUCAUUUGAGUUGUUUUUAGUUAUUGGCUAUUACAAAUAAAGGUGCUAUAAACAUAGCAUAUAAGACUUGGUGUGGGCAUGUUUUUAUUUAUUUUUUUCUUGAGUCAAUACCUUGAAGUGGAAUGGAUUAGCCUUAUGCUGGGUAUGUAUCCAACUUUCUCAUAAAUUGCUAAACUGUUUUCUAAAGUGGUUUUACUAUUUUGCAUUUUCACCAGCAGUAUUUGAGACUUAUAAUUUCUUCACAUUUUGCCAACUGUUGGUAUGGUCAGUUUUGUUAGUUUUAGUCUUUCUAAUGGGUGUAUAGUAAAAUCUCAUUGUGGUUUUAAUUUGCAUUUUCAGAAUGACUAGUGAUGAUUAUCUUUUCAUGAGCUUGUUUUUGGUAUGUCUUCAUUUAUACAGUGUCCGUUCAAAUCUUUUGUCUGUUAGUGGUGGAAGUAGGAACAGGAAGUGUUUAUCUUAUUAUUAUUAAGUUAUAUGAGUUCUUUAUAUAUUCUGAAUAUAAGUCCUUUGUCUGAUAUAUGUAUUCUAAAUAUCUUCUUCCAUGUUAUGGGUUGCGCUUUAUUUCCCCCUUAAUUAUAAUUUUCAAAGAA